ensembl:lncRNA
AGCAGGUGACAGGCGCUGUGACAGCACUGAGGAACAAAUAACCAGAGCAAGCUAACCGAGAACAACAUGAAGGAAAUAAAGCUAUACAUAACCAUUGGCCUGUUACUCCUUCAAAGCAGUGUUAGAGCUCAGACGACAAAUAUUACUACAAUGACGCAAGGACCUUCAGUGUCAACUGACAGCAUGACAUCACCUGUACCAUCUGCUAGCUCAGUUUCAGUAACUCCUGGAAUCUCUCUUCCCACAACAAAUCAAUCAACUGUUCCUGAAAGUUAUUCCCUCCUAUCAACUACAUCACAAUCAACAGGAACAAGUGCUUCUUAUCCAACAGCAUCAGGUUACACAAGUUCCACUCCAUCUACUGUUUCCACAAGCCCAUCAGUAGCAAUGGGUAGUUCAGUGACAACUGCUAACCCAGCUACCUCAGCCACAACAUUAGCAGUCACAUCAGAAGGGUCGACAAGUUCUUCUCCAUCAACUCAAAGCUCAGUGGUAACAGGCAGUGGGUCUUCAAGCUCUCCAGCAGCACAGAGUCCAAUAGUAACAACUAGUUCCGCCAGAAAUUAUGUGUCAACAACUACAAGUGCAGCUGGAAGUUCCUCUGCAACGAGUUCUCUCAAAACGACUGUUGACUUUAUGACUUCAACAGUACCUGGGAGUUCUCCUGCAACAACACUUCUAACAUCACCUGGAUACACCAUUUCUGCUUCAGGAACAAAAGAGACCUCUACUGCAACAACUGUCAGCUCUAUGAAAACUACUUUAUAUCCUGUGACAUCACCCACAGAUUCAACAGCAAUUUCAGUAGGUUCCACAAGUUCUUCUCCAGCAGCACUAAGUGUAAGCAGUUCUGGGACUCCCACCACAAAUUAUUUGCCGAUAACUGUACAAGCAACUGGAAGUUCUUUUCCAAUAACUGCGACUUCUAUCAAAACAACAUUUGACUCCAUGCCUUCGACCACAAGUUCUGCAACAACAACACUUGGUUUCACAAGCUCUCCUUCAGCAACACAGAGUCAAACAGUAACAAGCAAUUCAGGAACUUCUACCACAGCUCAUCUAACAACACUUGGAUACACCACUGCUGCAACAGGAACAACAGAGAGUUCUUCUGCAACAACUGCAAGCAAUAUGAAAACUACUUCACUCACAGAUUCGACAGCAAUUUCAGUUGGUUCCACAAGCUCCUCUCCAGCAGCACUAGGUGUAAGCAGUUCUGGGACUUCUGCCACAAAUUAUUUGUCGACAACUGCGCAAGCAACUGGAAGUUCUUCUGCACCUCCAACUCCAGUCAAAACAACAUUUGACUCCAUGCCUUCAACCACAGGUUCUGCAACGACAACACUUGGUUUCACAAGCUCUCUUUCCACAACACAGAAUCAAACAGUAACAAGCAAUUCAGGGACUUCUACAACAGCUAAUGUAACAACACCUGGUCACUCCACUUCUGCAUUAGGAACAACACAGAGUUCUAUUGCAACAAUCACAGGGUCUGCAACAACAACACUUGGUUUCACAAGCUCUCUUUCCGCAACACAGAAUCAAACAGUAACAAGCAAUUCAGGGACUUCUACCACAGCUAAUGUAACAACAUCUGGUUACUCCACUUCUGCAUCGGGAACAACAGAGAUUUCUACUGCAACAACUGCAAGCUCUAUGAAAACUACUUCACCCAUAGAUUCAACGACAAUUUCAGUUGGUUCCACAAGUUCCUCUCCAGCAGCACCAAGUGUAGGCGGUUCUGGGAUUUCCGCCACUAAUUAUUUGUCGACAACUGCGCAAACAACUGGAAGUUCUUCUGCAUUUCCAACUUCAGUCAAAACAACAUUUGACUCCAUGCCUUCAACCACAGGGUCUGCAACGACAACACUUGGUUUCACAAGCUCUCUUUCCACAACACAGAAUCAAACAGUAACAAGCAAUUCAGGGACUUCUACAACAGCUAAUGUAACAACACCUGGUUACUCCACUUCUGCAUUAGGAACAACACAGAGUUCUACUGCCACAACCACAGGUUCUGCAAUGACAGCACUUGGUAUCACAAGCUCUCCUUCAGCAACACAGAAUCAAACAGUAGCAAGCAAUUCAGGGACUUCAAUCACAGCUAAUGUAACAACACCUGGUUACUCCACUUCUGCAUUAGGAACAACACAGAGUUCUACUGCAACAACCACAGGUUCUGCAACAGCAACACUUGGUUUCACAAGCUCUCUUUCCGCAACACAGAAUCAAACAGUAACAAGCAAUUCAGGGACUUCUACAACAGCUAAUGUAACAACACCUGGUUACUCCACUUCUGCAUCGGGAACAACAGAGAGUUCUACUGCAACAAGUGCAAGCUCUAUGAAAACUACUUCACACAUAGAUUCAACAACAAUUUCAGUUGGUUCCACAAGUUCCUCUCCAGCAGCACCAGGUGUAGGCGGUUCUGGGAUUUCUGCCACUAAUUAUUUGUCGACAACUGCGCAAACAACUGGAAGUACUUCUUCAUUUCCAACUUCAGUCAAAACAACAUUUGACUCCAUGCCUUCAACCACAGGUUCUGCAACGACAACACUUGGUUUCACAAGCUCUCUUUCCACAACACAGAAUCAAACAGUAACAAGCAAUUCAGGGACUUCUACAACAGCUAAUGUAACAACACCUGGUUACUCCACUUCUGCAUUAGGAACAACACAGAGUUCUACUGCCACAACCACAGGUUCUGCAACAACAACACUUGGUUUCACAAGCUCUCUUUCCGCAACACAGAAUCAAACAGUAACAAGCAAUUCAGGGACUUCUACCACAGCUAAUGUAACAACACCUGGUUACUCCACUUCUGCAUCGGGAACAACAGAGAGUUCUACUGCAACAAGUGCAAGCUCUAUGAAAACUACUUCACACAUAGAUUCAACAACAAUUUCAGUUGGUUCCACAAGUUCCUCUCCAGCAGCACCAGGUGUAGGCGGUUCUGGGAUUUCUGCCACUAAUUAUUUGUCGACAACUGCGCAAACAACUGGAAGUUCUUCUGCAUCUCCAACUUCAGUUAAAACAACAUUUGACUCCAUGCCUUCGACCACAGGUUCUGCAAUGACAGCACUUGGUUUCACAAGCUCUCCUUCAGCAAUACAGAAUCAAACCGUAACAAGCAAUUCAGGGACUUCUACCACAGCUAAUGUAACAACACCUGGUUACUCCACUUCUGCAUUAGGAACAACACAGAGUUCUACUGCCACAACCACAGGUUCUGCAACAACAACACUUGGUUUCACAAGCUCUCUUUCCGCAACACAGAAUCAAACAGUAACAAGCAAUUCAGGGACUUCUACCACAGCUAAUGUAACAACACCUGGUUACUCCACUUCUGCAUUAGGAACAACACAGAGUUCUACUGCCACAACCACAGGUUCUGCAAUGACAGCAUUUGGUUUCACAAGCUCUCCUUCAGCAACACAGAAUCAAACAGUAACAAGCAAUUCAGGGACUUCUACCACAGCUAAUGUAACAACACCUGGUUACUCCACUUCUGCAUCGGGAACAACACAGAGUUCUACUGCAACAACCACAGGUUCUGCAACAGCAACACUUGGUUUCACAAGCUCUCUUUCCGCAACACAGAAUCAAACAGUAACAAGCAAUUCAGGGACUUCUACAACAGCUAAUGUAACAACACCUGGUUACUCCACUUCUGCAUUAGGAACAACACAGAGUUCUACUGCCACAACCACAGGUUCUGCAAUGACAGCACUUGGUUUCACAAGCUCUCCUUCAGCAACACAGAAUCAAACAGUAACAAGCAAUUCAGGGACUUCUACCACAGCUAAUGUAACAACACCUGGUUACUCCACUUCUGCAUUAGGAACAACACAGAGUUCUACUGCAACAACCACAGGUUCUGCGACAGCAACACUUGGUUUCACAAGCUCUCUUUCCGCAACACAGAAUCAAACAGUAACAAGCAAUUUAGGGACUUCUACAACAGCUAAUGUAACAACACCUGGUUACUCCACUUCUGCAUCGGGAACAACAGAGAGAUCUACUGCAACAAGUGCAAGCUCUAUGAAAACUACUUCACCCACAGAUUCAACAACAAGUUCAGUUGGUUCCACAAGUUCCUCUCCAGCAGCACCAGGUGUAGGCGGUUCUGGGAUUUCCGCCACUAAUUAUUUGUCGACAACUGCGCAAACAACUGGAAGUUCUUCUGCAUUUCCAACUUCAGUCAAAACAACAUUUGGCUCCAUGCCUUCAACCACAGGUUCUGCAACAACAACACUUGGUUUCACAAGCUCUCCUUCAGCAACACAGAAUCAAACAGUAACAAGCAAUUCAGGGGCUGUAGUGGGAAAUGGAGGCAUUUCUGGAAGUUUAUCUUCAACUACAAAUUCCAUCACCAAUACCAAAAACGUUAUUACAGUAACAACUCAAUCUACUCCAUCAUCAUCACCUGGGUCAGGAUCUACACAGUCUACUUCAAUUACUGCAGUUCCUUCAAUUACUGCAAAUGGAGUUUCAUCACAUUCCAAUGAAACAUCAGCAACAGCGGCUAGUCUCACAGUAACAAUCUCUUCUACUUCUCUUACACAAAUUACAACUCCCACCCCAAUUACAGUAACAGAUUCCACAGCCCCACCUUCAAAGGGUGAGGGAUCCAUAGAGCUUGGAUUCAGAAUGAUACGGCAGUUUGAACCAGAUUAUGCAGAUGAGACAACAGUGAAAUAUAAGGAACUUGCAGCAAAUGUUACCACAGAGGUGAAUCGAGGUUAUAGGAUUAUUUUCCCUGUCACGUAUAGGAGGUGUCGGGUAGAGAAAUUUUCCCCAGGGUCAGUGAUUGUCAACAUGACGCUGAUUUUCAGCAGUGAGUCUGUUGUUCCGAACGUAUCGCAAGCUGAAAAUGCUCUUGCAGUAUCUGUAGAAAAAGGAAACACAUUUCUGAAUGUGGAUCUUCCUUCUAUCACUGCCACUCUAUCGACCACAACAAACACCACUACUGCUGCCAGUACAUCCAGUACAUCUGCAACAGCUGCAACCAAUAUGACAUCUGCAACAGCUGCAUCCAAUACGACAUCAGCCAGUACCGCACCAAACACUACACACUCAGGAGCUGCUAGCUUCACCGGAACAAUGCUGAUCUGGGUCACCUUGAUUUACAACACCUAUGCAGAAUUUUGUAAUUGACUAUAGUUACUGUCCAAAGAACUAUGACUAGAACAAAUCUCUGUGUUCUGGAGAUACAUUGUGAUACAAUAGUAAUUGCAGAGUAAUUGUAGAUGAACAGUUAACCCUUAUAGCCCCAAGCUGUCUGCAGGUCAUUUUCACUGGUAUGCACUACAACACACUCAAUAAUUAUUUAAAUAAAUAAAUAAAAAAAAAAACUUUAAAAUAUAUUUCUGCGUUUAAAAUAUAUGAAUGCGUAUCUUACGAUAUUCUGCUUCGCCACGGCCAGUGGCUACUGGAACCUUAAUGAGAGUUCAUUAGUUUAGUGCAAGUGCAAGUGCGUGCUGAGCAACCCGAAAGCCAAUGAAAAUGUAUGUGAUUUGAAUGAGCUCCUGUUCCUGGAGAUGAACCUUCCACUAACCGUAACUGACCCUGCCAGAUCAAUCUAAUCAUUGACUUAAGACGUCCUUGAUUCGCUGAAUGGGGUGCAUUAGAAUUGGGUUGAAGUUGAAAGCUGCAGGAAGGUCAAUCUCCAGGAGGAGGGCAGGUGACCAGUGUCUUCAACCAUAAGUCAAAAUACAUCAUUCAACACUUGUUUUUUUCCACCUCACGAAUCUAACUUGAUCAAAUCUUGCUAUGACAUUGAUCGACUUUAGGCAAUCAUUUUUUAUUUCACACAUGGUGGGAUCACUAGCAUCCCCAUGGGGUUCUAAGGGUUAAUCUAUGUACAAUCGAUCUAUAAGGGAAAUGAUGGAUUAUCUGCUAAGGUGACAUUGUAUGUAAUGCACACACUGGACAUAUAGAGUCAGAUUUACUAACGUAUUUUUGCAAUUUUGGCACUAUAUGUGCCUGUAAUUGUUUGCACUCAGAGAGAAAAGAAUAGAGAGAGUUAUUUAAACACAUUUAUUUAUUUUUAAAAAAUGUACGUGUGUACGUAUGCCGUUUAACACUUUUCUUAUUUAGAUGAAACUGCCAUAGGAGUAAACUGCUUAUUCCUAACACUUUGGGUAUAUUUUACAGCAGCCAUCUUCAGAGUAUGUUUUUUUUUUUUUGCAAAUCAUUGUUAAAAAACAUUUAUUAAUGGCUGUUCAAGCCUUAUAUUACUAAAGCUACCUGUUGUUUCAUUACUUCAUGUUCACAGUGCAUGCUGAGGCAGAAAGAUCACAGCCUGUGAUGCCCUGCACGCAGCCAAGAACUCACUCUGACCAUAAGCUUUAAACAAUACAAUUCCUAAACAAGCAGGAUGCACUCAGGGAAACAAAUCAAUUUUUCACUAUCCAUGGUUUCUGAAUGCACUGAACAUGAAAAGCUUCAUUUUUUCAAACGAAUGACUCUUUUUCGACAUUACUUUGACUACAAAACACUAAUGUCUUAUUUUAUUUAUGCUGUUCUAUUUUAUUUCAUUUGAACUAAGGCUGAAACAGUUAUGUGUCAUGAUCCAUAACUUUGACAAUAAAAAAAGAACUCUGCAAAUAUUUCUGUUUGUCAGUUUUUCAUUUACAUUUUUAAAGUGACGUCUGACCUGAGCUGAGUUAAUCAC